GGAGGGCCGGAAAUGUCGGAGCAGGGGCCCAGUCCACCCGAGGGGGACUUCCGCUUCCUCGUUGUCCUCUUUUCCUCGCCUGCUCUGCCUCUGAGGAUUCUGCUCUUCCCCAAAGGGGAAGCAUUCAGGAGAGGAUGGUCCCUGUGAUCCCAACAGCCAGGUGCCAGUUAUUACUUCCACAUCGAGGGGCUUAGGGGCAUGGCACCCCUGCAAUCUGGAAAAUCCACGUAAAAUUUUUUGGCCCUCCCUUCGUACCAGAGAAGA